UCUUUUAUUCAGAACUCCUCGAAUAGGUCUGCGCACAAGUAGAAUUUACUUUCAAAGAAAACAACGUAGAACUGCAACGCGGGUAUUAUGGCAACGUGAAGGGGACAGAGAGAGUUUAGACCAGUUAUGGAAACGAGAAAGAAAAAAAGAGAGGCACAAGUAAGAUAUAUUAAACAGGUCGAUGAACCGGACAGAUUAGGAAAGAUGGCAGGAAUUUUCUGCACAGGAGGAACUCCCGUGUACUUUAUUUAAUCCAAACAAAAAUGAAAGCGUAGUAUGUUUCUUUUUGUAUUGUCUGAAAAUUCCACUGAUACGAACAGCGGCUUUUUUUUGGGGGGGUUGGUAUAAGGGAUGGGAAAAUGCUCAUAAAACGUCCCUGCAUCCCUGCCUCUCCAAAACAGUGAUGCAAAACUUAUUCCCCCUCUUCCAUUAAUAAGAACACAACCCCACUAUUAACAUCGAAUGGAGUUUCAAUUUUGAAUGAUACUGCCUUAAUUUGUGUUCAAAGUGUAUGUUUUAACUCCCAGGUGGGGGAGGGGGCGAAUGUUUCAGGAUAAUGUUGACUGCAAGAGUCGGAAUAAUCUUAAAUCUCGGAUUCCCAAAGAUAUUUUCUCCUUCUUAACAUCGAAUCAAUGUACAUUUUUCUGGAAUCGGUGUUAUUAUUGCUCCAACCCAACUCACUCCAUUUUCUAACAUUCGGGAAUAAACACUGGAUUGGGAAGAUUUGGGCAGAGUGUGGGGUGUCAGCGUCUAAUGAGGUUUAAAGGAUUCACGACCGCUUAUAUUUUAGUUCUGUUUAGACUGGGACCUCUCAUUGCAUUUUAAGACGUCUCAUUAAACCGAAUAUGUCAGGUGAGGUACCAGGGCUUGAAUGGGGUUUGGUUUUGUAAACAGAGCACCCGUUCAAAACCUAAAGCUCAAGUAUUCUGUGUUAGGAAGAAAAAGGGUUAAUUAGAAAUGCAUAGCCCCCACCUCUGGGGAGGGAGAAGAACAGAAAAGGAAACGGAGAUUGUGGGACCCGGCUCGCCUACCUAAUCAUCUCCUAUCCCAGAACCCCCUCUCUGUUUCUCUACCCCCCGCCCCGUCUUUGUUCAGUGCGGAAUCUGUUCCGCUCAGAUUCUCUCCUGGUUCCAAAAAAUAAUGUGUUCAAGCUUUUACAGCGUGGAAAAAGAAAACGAAAUACCCGAACGGUUGGAGCUUGAUUCCUAUGCACUGAGCCGCUGAGAGACAGUGUAAUCACUAAAGUAGCAGUUUAAACAAAAUACUCUUAAAUGAUGCCUGCUGGACAAGAAGAACUUCGUCUCGUUUGUUUCCGAGUCUGGCUGUAGCUCUCGGUAAGGUCUUCGGCCGUUUCUACUGCGGAUCAACCCGGCUUUGAGGUGGCUGCGCCGUUUGUACUGCACGGAGUGGACAUUCCACGGAUCUCAUGCAAGUUGGCGAGGCGGUUAUAUUACAUUCCUACGACAAGAGGCGUGCGGGCGGACUGUGCCGGACUACGUUAAAUCUCAGGGUAAAUUCAAUCACCGAGACUUUCCGGGGCGAGUUUAUGUUCUCAGCGAGUUAACAUUCAGAUUUUAUUCUCCACCAUUUGGGUCAAAAAGCAUUGCUGAUUUUUUUAUUACACUCGCAGAAACAGGUGCAGACAACAAACGCCAGACGUUUUCGCAAUUUCCUUUCAAAGCUUCAUUCGCCGCGGUGGGUUUUCCAUAUUUAUAACUGCGGAUGUGUCCUGGGGUUUGAUAGAGCGCAUCCUCCUGGGGUAGUGUGUGUGCGCCUGCCCCCUGGGAUCGGUUUAAAGUUCAAAAUCACAUCAAAACAGCUGCGUUUUGGGCCGGGGGUUGAUUAAAAUAUAUAACGCCGUCGUGGCAGUACGCGGACAAUAAAUCAUCAAUAGUGCUUCAUUUCAAAAUGGACUGACUUGUGGGAAUAAAGAAAGCAUUCUGGACACAUGGCGGUCUCAAGCGUGCGACUCAAGCGGUUGUUUGAUUUGUUUGAUUCACGUUUUGAUGGGGCAACAAAGGACAUCGUGGGGAGAGCUGAUAGAAUUAUAGAAUGGCAAAGUAGAGAAAUGGGCCAUUCGGUUGGUCCUGCCAGUGGAAGUGUCUCGCCUUAAACUGUGCUUUUCAUAGCAAUUAGAUUUUGGAAUUUUUAAGGGGACCAAGCGAUGCUUUAGUUCAGGAAAGCCUAUGGCAUAAUAGCUAUGUUCUCAUAUCCUAUCUUUACCUCCCACCUAUCUCUAGCUGCAGCAAGAAUUGGGCACUAACACCGGAAAAUGCUUGCAAAGCAUAUUUACAGCAGAGUUAGCUCAGUUAUAGCACUCCACCCACAUCUGAUAUGUAACCAAAUGCAAUGUGCAACCAGUACUGACAACUGGCUGCACUCCAAAGAUAUAGUUUCAAGUGUUUGACAGUUUAAGCUGUGACAACUAUUACAGCACAACUAGCCGCUGGGUGAUAUACCUGCCUGGCAACAACAACAGUCAUUUACACUGUACCUUUAAAGCAAUAAAACAUCCCAAAACUGCAAGAGUGCUAGCCAAAAAAAUUGGCUAAACCAAAUAAGGAGAUAUCAGGGGAGAUCACCAAAAGCUUGAUCAAAAGAUUUAGACUUUAAGGAGUGUAUUACAAGAGGAAAGAGAUAAAGGGAGAGGUUGAUGGAAGGAAUUUCAAAGCUUCAGACCUCAGCUGCUGAACUCAUAGACCACAAAUUCAAAGAAUUUAACAUUGCAGAUGGCAAAUUGGGCCUUCAUUGCCAUUUUUGUGUCAUUCUGCAGUCAGUGGAAAACAAAAUAGUAGGGUUGAUGACAUACUUGUGGUCUACUAUUCCAGUAGACCUGGGCUAAUUGCACAGAGUUCAGAUCAUGCCACAGCAGUUUCAGAACUUCAUUUCAAUAAUGAAUUAUGAAUCUACUAUCAGUAAAACCGGCUACGAAGACUUCAUAAGAACCUAACUUGUUGACAAAGUUCCUGUUGGGAAGGAAGCUUCAUCUGGUCUGACCUAUAUGUGACUCCCUUCCCAAGCACAAUCUAGUUGCCUCAGAAAUAGUCCAGUAGCCCACUGCCAAAACUGACUGCAUUGAAUGAAGACUGCACUUAUUCCAGGGCAACUAGGGAUGGGCAAUAAAUGCUGGCCUAUCUAGCAAUGCCCUGAAGUAUGUUAUGAACAGGAUUGCUUACAAAAUCAAACAGCUUAAAAAUGAAAUAAAACAAGUCACCUUCAGUUUGCCAGCAUUACACAUGUGAUACAUGGAAUACUCUGCUUCAAUGCAAAGCUAAAUUUAUUUUAAUUUAAAGUGCAGUGGAGUGAGCAUAACAUGAAAGCAUAAACAUAUUUUUAAAAGGCCUUAAUAAGCUCUGACGAAGGAUCCCAAUUGUCUUUUAGUUUACAGAUGCCCACAGACAUUUCCAGCAAUUAUUAUUUCCUUUUAGUUAUUUUCAACCUAUAUAUAACAGGAGAGUUUAAACAGGGACACAUUAGCAUUGAGAACUUUUCUCUACAAUUUCCCAUUCUCCCUUUUUUUUCUGACGGCAUUGACUUAUUCUGAUUUCUGGUUCCAAGAUUCAAGGAUUCUCUGGUACUUCAUCCAAUUGUGUCAUCUUCAUGCUUGAAAUUAUUGAGCAAGUAUCAAUCUUAAAUAUGGAGGCUAUUUGCAAAUGAAAGGGAUCAUGCUCAAUCCUGUUCUCCGCAUUCACCUGUUAUUGGUCAGCUCCGACUGGAUCAUCCUGGUCAUUCUGGUCUCCUUCCUAUCAGAAAGAUGCUGUGAAACUUGAAAGGGUUCAAAAACGAUUUACAAGAAUAU